GCGCCGAGCCCGAGCCCCAGGCGUGCCGCUGGCCAUGUCGCUCUUCUACGUCGCGCGGUACCAGGGCCCCGAGGCGGCAGCUGCGGCGGGGCCGGAGGGCGCGGAGGCCGGGGCCCACGGCCGGGCCCGCGCGCUGCUCGAGCGGCUGCAGAGCCGGGCCCGCGAACGGCAGCAGCAGCGGGAGCCCGCGCCGACCGAGGCGGCUGCACCGACAGAGCCGGGGACCAGGAAGCGACGGCGGCCUCGGCGGCGGCGGCGGGUGAACGGCGCGGAGUCGGGCAGCCCAGAGGCGCGGCAGGGAAAGCGACGGAAGGCGGACGGCGAGGACGCGGGCGCAGAAAGCAGCGAGGAUGCGCCAGGGGAGCCCAGCUCAGGGAGCAGCGAGGAUACGCCAGGGGAGCCCAGCUCAGGGAGCAGCGAGGAUGCGCCGGGGGAGCCCAGCUCAGGGAGCAGCGAGAAGGCGCCGGGGGAGCGCAGCGCCAGCGCCGAGGCGGCCCCAGACGCACCCCUGGUCCCCGGCCUGGUGCUGGGGGGGUUCGGGAGGAGGAAGGCGCCGAAGGUCCAGCCUUUCCUGCCAAGGUGGCUGGCUGAGCCCAGCUGUGUCAGAAAGAACGUCAACGAAGAUCUGGUUCCUAUCGAGGACAUCCCUGAGGUCCACCCUGACCUGCAGAAGCAGCUGCGGGCACAUGGCAUCUCGUCCUACUUUCCAGUCCAGGCAGCUGUGAUUCCUGCCCUCCUGGAGAGCGCGGCCUGUGGGUUUCUGGUGGGCAGAGGCGGCUACCGGCCUAGCGACCUCUGUGUUUCUGCCCCGACAGGCAGUGGGAAGACACUGGCCUUCGUCAUCCCUGUGGUGCAGGCCCUGCUGUCCAGAGUGGUCUGCCACAUCCGUGCCCUGGUCGUGCUGCCCACCAAGGAGCUGGCCCAGCAGGUGAGCAAAGUUUUCAACAUCUACACGGAUGCCACACCUCUGAGAGUCUCCCUGAUUACGGGACAGAAGUCUCUGGCCAAGGAGCAGGAGAGCCUCGUCCAGAAAACCGCCGACGGGUACCGCUGCUUGGCUGACAUCGUGGUAGCCACCCCCGGCCGCCUGGUGGACCACAUCGACCAGACCCCAGGAUUCAACCUCCAGCAGCUCCGCUUCCUGGUCAUCGACGAGGCUGACCGGAUGAUUGACAGCAUGCAUCAGUCCUGGCUGCCACGAGUGGUGGCGGCUGCCUUCCAGAGUGAGGACCCCACGGACCCCUGUGCCUUGCUCCAGCGAAGACAGGCCCAGGCUGUGACAGCCGCCAGUACCUGCCGUCCGCAGAUGCCCCUGCAGAAGCUGCUCUUCUCGGCUACUCUGACCCAGAACCCCGAAAAGCUGCAGCAGCUGGGCCUCCAUCAGCCCCGGCUUUUCUCCACAGGGCUGGCACACAGGGGCCUGGCAGAUACAGAUGGGGACGGGGACUCGGGGAAGUAUGCCUUCCCUGUUGGGCUCACGCACCACUACGUGCCCUGCAGCCUCAGCUCUAAGCCGCUGGUUGUCCUGCACCUGGUCCUGGAGAUGGGCUUCUCGAGGGUUCUCUGCUUCACUAACUCCCGAGAGAACUCCCACAGGCUCUUCUUGCUGGUGCAGGCUUUUGGGGGUGUGGACGUGGCUGAGUUCUCCUCGCGCUACGGCCCUGGCCAGAGGAGGAGGAUCCUGAAGCAGUUUGAACAGGGGAAGAUCCAGCUGCUCAUCAGCACGGAUGCCACCGCCCGAGGCAUCGAUGUGCAGGGUGUGGAGCUGGUGGUGAACUAUGACGCCCCCCAGUACCUGAGAACUUAUGUGCACCGGAGAGGAGGUUCCUCCAGAUGCUGACUGAAGCUGGGGUGCCUGAGUUGCGGCGGCACGAGCUCUCCAGCAAGCUGCUGCAGGCCCUGGUUCCUCGGUACGAGGAGGCCCUGUCCCAGCUGGAGGAGUCCAUCAAGGAAGAGCACAAGCAGAGGGCGGCCUAGGCCGGGGCUCGGAGGGCCCGAGGGACUGCACCAGAGGACCAGAGGGACUGCGCGCUCACCACCCUGAGCCUCCUUCCAGAGCUGAUCACUGAUGCUCUGUGUGAGGAAAGGAGUCCCCCAGCGGACACAACCUUCCUCCCUGAGCACGUGGUCUCUGCGCCAGACAGCCUGGGCGUCAAAGCUCAAGCACACGCCCAGACUGGAGACUUUAGGGCCUGUCACUUUCAUGGCCUGAAGGUCAGGAUGGCCGCUGGCAAUGAAGCCUCAGUAAAACUAUGAAAAGUACUCCCAGACAGACACAGUGGCACCUGUCAUGAUUUUGGCUGAGAGUUGUCGGGAUUAACCUUGAGCUAAUGUUAAAAAUGAGGCUCUCGGCCAGGCGUGGUGGCUCGCGCCUGUAAUUCCAGCACUUUGGGAGGCCAAGAUGGGUGGAUCACCUGAGGUCAGGAGUUCGAGACCAGCCUGACCAACAUGGAGAAACCC